GACCCCUUCGUCUAAAGGUGAGGAUAGGAGACUUUCAAUCUCCUGAUGCAUUGGGUUCAAGUCCCGCAGGGGCCACCA
rnacentral:tRNA from 1 species